CAACCUCGGCAGCUCUGCUGUUCGUCCUGUGCCGAGCGCGGAAGGGGAGAGGCGAGGCGAGAAGAUUGUGAACAGCUGAGCGUCGCUGGCCAGCGUUAUUCGGUUGAAGGGAGGAGGGCACCCGCUUGUUCCCAAGAUGGAGGAGGGCAGCCUUCUUAGGGGAACGAUGCAAACAUCCACCUGAGGUUCGAGCCCUGGGGUGGGGCUAAGGAGGCGCCAAGCGGUUGUUCGAAGUUUUUUGGGGGAAACUUUCCUGACGAGAUGUCCGUUCCUCCUCCCCCCCCCGUCGCAGUGGGCAUGCAGAGCAGCGGCGAGCGAACGCCCCGCACCCGUGACAUGCGCACUGGAACCGCUGGGUGCUGGAGAGACGCGCCUUGUGCAAGAACGUAACUAUUUCCCGCCCUUCACCGGAAAGCAGUUUAUCCUGACUGAUGAAAUGCCCUCGGAGAACCUAGCCAUGCACCCUCCCUCCUAUCUGCAUUUUUGUCUUUUCCCCCCCUCCCCUUCUUUCGCUGAUCGACGUAGAAUAUUCAGGAACUUCUGAUACAGGUCAAUAUCUCACUCCCUAGCCGAGGGCACUCUGCCUACGUAUCUGCGUAUCUCACAAUCACAUUUCCCCCGAACUUCUCGGCCUUAGUACUCCGUGCAUUUGAAGUAGUACACAAAAGCUGGCAGUAUAGUAAAUCAGGAGGGGGAGGAGCGGAAACAUGCCACGCUAAGUCCCUUGCAGCAAAAAAAAAGAAAGAAAAAAAAGUCUUCUGGCACCUUGUGCUACAUUUCUGUGAAACUGGAACCUAUUUAAAGCGACCCCAAUAAGAUUUUCAGUGUGAAAUACUUAACCCACCCACCCGGGGAGUUUCCAUCGCUCAGCGGGGAUUCGAAACCAGGACUCCUGAUCCCUAGUCCGUCACUCUGUUCACUACCUUCACUGGGGUAAAAAACAAUCUUUGUUUGGCACCGGUAUUAUUUGGUUGCAGCCCGUUUUCAUCAUACACAGCUGCUGCGACAGAAGAAGUCGGCUGCUGCGCAAGAACGUUAAUGCCAAAUAAAACGCGUUCGUUUUUAAAGGGCUGCAAGCUUCUGUCGCUAUAAUUAAUCUGCCAAGUCGAAAGCUGUCACGUGGUCCUUCGCUGUUUCCUUGCACCAGCUUAACAGGGUUUGCCCUCCCCCCCCCCUUCGAUCAAUCCAGCCGGCUCAGCUUCGCCCCCAAACGGGAGGGAAGCGAGAGAGGACGGCGAGGCAAACUUGCGCCGUGACGUUCUCGCGUCAGACUCGGGGAGUGGCGUGGAGGGUAACCCACGGUAUCCGAGCGGAUUAGCCUUGAACCAGGCCGCCUCGUUACGAACGCGCGUCAUCCGCCUGCUUUUUUGGAAAGACGCACCAGGAGGAAAGGUCCUGCCUGGAACCGAUUUCAUCUGAAACAAACUGCCACUUUUCUCCCGGUGCGUCCUUAACGAUUUAUAAUCUAAGAGCCGAAUUAUACACGCGCGUGGCCAGACGUUUGGAGAAGGGGGGGGUUAGUGUCCCUCCCCACACAGCCCAUCGUGACGGCAGUGUUCUUCCAUCCAGCAUUAAUGCAGCCGAGGUUUUACUGGACAGACAUCCCGGGGUCAUCACUGGUCUUCUGCUCUGAUGCCCUCAAUUGGUAUCAGGAGAUACAUAGGUUUGAUAGAACGUAGCGCGCUGUCAAGGGAGAAUAACGCCCGGAAGCUGUGCUGCUUUCAAGACCAACUUUGUCAGACUCAGCAUCACAGUGACACUCCAGUUCCCUGAUGCAAAUCAACAACAGGACGUGUCACUCCGGCGCGGAGAGGGGCUUGCCCGAUGCAUACAAUAUAAGCAGCCUUGUUAUGAAUGGAGGCAGAGAUGGGGGGGGAGGGGGAGGGAAGAGAAAGCCCGGGACUGGGAAUGACCCUCGAAGAGGAGCAUUGCAAGCCCUAGGGCGCAGGCCGUUGCUUUCAGGGAUGAGCCUCUCUAACAGCCCAAGGAGCGAGCAGGUUGUUCCCAAGAGAAUAAAGCUUGGGGAGCCACGGCUUCUGAUGGCGGGCAAGCUCUAAAGUUAAAAGAACCUGGCGCUUCAAAAUGGACACACUUACUUCAGGUAUGGGUUUUGAGCAGCCCUUCAGCCAUGUUUCCAUGCAGGGCAUGGCUUUGUUUCCCGUUUUUGCUCUAGCCAGAAUAAGACCACACCUCCAGCCAAAAAGAAGCGAGAAGCCCAUCCCUCUUUACUGCGGAGCGCUGUCUGUGUACCUUUCCCAGCAACUGCUCUGCUAAGGAAUUUCUGCCACAUUUUUAAAUGACUCCCUGAUACCUAUUAUCUACCUUAUUUUGGGAGCGAAGGAAAACCCCAAGCUUGCUUUAGGACAUAGUAAGAAACAAAUUAUUCUUAGAAAGUUUCAUUUUAAAAUGAUUGCCAUUUUUCCAGGGGGUGGUAGAAUAAAGGAAUCUCUGUAAUCUGCAUCCCCAUACUUCCUCCCUCAAAAGAAAGAUCAGGGCUUGUCGGUUGCAGAUGUCUUUUAAAAAGCCUCUGCAGCAGGAUCAAAGAAAGCUGGCUCAUGUGCCCAGACUAGCCGCUUAAUGGGUUAGAGUAAAAAAGAAAGGUCACAUGGCCACAAUAAACCUCUAUACAACACAUGCCCUCUAGCUAUGGUUAACUUUAAUUAACUACAAUAUUACAAUUCACUGCAAGCUUGUUUUUCACACAUGCCCACUGUCUCUUGACAGUCGUCUUGUCAACAGAAAUAAGGUGAAGGGGGAGAUUAGAGAGGCAAGUCAAACUGCUUUGAAAAAUGCAAAUUACAAAAGUUUCUCAUGAAACUUGUUCAUUUUGGUUGCAGUUUAAUUACAUAAUGCAUGAGAUGAAGGGCACUUGCUGUGUUUCUAGUGACAGAUCAAUAACUCACUGCAGUAUUUGUAGAACUACUGUUCAGAGCUGUUGCUUUUAAUUCAGUCUAAUUUUAUGCAUGUUUACACAGUCACAUGCAUUCAGUGGGGGUUUAUUUUCUAAUAAACAUGUUUAGCACAAUGUCUGAAGUGUCUGUUAGAUAUUGGUGAAAGAAAUCAGUCAUCCAUAUACUGACACACAUUUUUAAAACCCUUCUGUUUAAAGUGGGGAAAGGCUACUAUUACAUUGCGAGUCCCAAUUAGAGUAAAUCCAUUUACUCAGUGGUAAUCAAUGAAGUGUUGACUUACCAUACAGCUGUUGAUUCAAUGGUCUGCUCUCUAGUUUGACACUAGUUAUAGGAUACUAGCCAAAAUUUGCAAAUACAUAAAAUAUAAUGGCAUUAAAAAUGAAUCUCAAAACAGGCAAACAGUGACAGAGCAGCUGUUUCUGAAAACCCAGUGUCCAUUCUGAAACCAGCAAAGCACUGAUUUGCAGAACUGGCUUUAUUGUCAUUACUAUCAAGAAUGGAAGCAGAAAGUGUAGCAGUUCUCCCAGUAACCACAUCCAAAGGUCAAAAGGGCUUUUU